GAAUUUCCCUUUCUAUGCACUUUAUAAAAAAGUAUAACAGAACAUGGGAAGCAACACGUCGGAUAGCAUUGCAGUUUCAUCUGGAAUUUACAAGCAAUGAUUCUGUUGUAGAAUAGAUGUGAAAGUUUACAUUACUGAAAGAUGUGCUACCAAGAUGCAGUGACAGAGGGAGUUGUGGAGUUGCUGACAUCACACACCUGAAGCAUUGUAACUAUUGACUUAAGCAUUGAGGUAGUUGGUUGUGUGCACAGCUUGAAGGCCCUGAAGUCAAGUGCUUUACCCAGUCCUUUCCUCAUUGUGUGACUUUGGAACCAUUUUUUUCAAGAAUAAGAAUUCCCACGGACUCAAGAAAGGUAGGAAUUGGAAACACCCCAGUUCUGAGCAGACAUGUGGAUCAUCUGAGGUUUUGCCCCCACCUCGAGUUUCUGCUCUCCACUAUGGCAGCUGCAUGCCCCAAAACAAGAGCUGCUCAUUCAAGGAAGUCACAUGGAACCCAGCUGAGCCAAGCAGAACCUGGCAAGAUCACAGUGGAGCGGCAGUCAUCAUGAAAUAUGAAUAAUAACAUAGGUGAUGAAACUGAAUCAGAGAGAUGCUGAACAACGUGUUUAAGAAGUUGCUUAUUUACAGCCUUUAAGUGGAAGAGUCAGAAUCCAACUGGGUUUUGAACAAAAAUUUUUCACCAUAUAAAUGGAUCAGAAAACUGAAAGAAGUCUGACCUCUGCCAUGAAGGGGCUUUCAGAGGUGCUCGGGAAAUAGACAUGCAUGUGGGGUUAUAGCUGGUGGUCCAGGAAAAUGCAGUGUGUACUGUGAUGGAAAAAUAAAACAAAAGA